rnacentral:rRNA from 1 species
AAGACCUUGCACUUUUGGAGCGGCCGAUGCCUGAUUAGCUUGUUGGUAAGGUAAAAGCCUACCAAAGCUUCGAUCAGUAGCUGGUCUGAGAGGACGACCAGCCACACUGGGACUGAGACACGGCCCAGACUCCUACGGGAGGCAGCAGUGGGGAAUUUUGGACAAUGGGGGCAACCCUGAUCCAGCCAUGCCGCGUGAGUGAAGAAGGCCUUCGGGUUGUAAAGCUCUUUCAGCCGGAAAGAAACGGUUGCGGAAUACCCGCGANCGUGACCACUGACGGUACCGGAAGAAGAAGCACCGGCUAACUACGUGCCAGCAGCCGCGGUAAUACGUAGGGUGCAAGCGUUAAUCGGAAUUACUGGGCGUAAAGGGUGCGCAGGUGGUUUUGUAAGUCAGAUGUGAAAUCCCCGGGCUUAACCUGGGAACU